GUAAACUGGGGUAACUUUGAUAGCCCGGGGUGACUUUGAUAGGUUUUUCAAAUGUCCGUCAAAUUAAUAUCUAAACAUUUUUGAGAAUAUUGAGUACCGUAAAACGGGGUGAAUUUUCCGCAAAAUGAAGAGUACAAUUAAAUUACGUAACGAAUGGUUUAGAAACAUACUGACCGUGGUAGAGAUGUGUUCAAAGUUGACAAGUUUAAAUAGUUAGUUAACUAUAGUUAAGAAAAUGUUGAUGAAAGUAAUUAUUUUAAACUUCUCAAAGUGUCUUGAUUUUCUCAAUGAACAUGAUUUUUAAUCGGAAAACGGAAUGCAUUUUCGGAUUCUUUGGACAAUUUUCCACUAGGAGAAGAUUAAAAAAGUUUGUAAAUAAUAAAUAAUAUGCGUUUUUGAAACACAAUUUAAAUUUUUUUCCAAAUUUAUAGGUAAUUUCAGUUGAACAAAUUUCAUGUAAAAUGUGAAAACUUGUGAUUCGUGCUUCGAAUUCAGUAUAAAAUGCAAUAUAAAUCGAUAAUUUUACAAACAAAACUAGUUUUAACAAAUCUCAGGCAAAAUUCCGACUUUUUAACAAUUUUACCUAAAAUUUAUAUGUAUUUUGCUAAAAAGCUUAUACACUUAGUUAACUAAAUAUAAACAUAGAUUUUUUUUUUUCUUAAAAACUAUAUCAGCUACUUUAGUGAUGGUACAUUUAGCGUACAAAUAAAGUUUGAACAUCUUAAAUAUGAUUUAAACAAGAAAAACUAUUACUAUCAAAGUCACCCCGGAAUUAAAACUAAGAAUUUUUAGCGUACCGUAAACUGGGGUCAAUCGGGACACAUGGGGCGAAUUGGGACAGCAGUUUUAACCAUGUUGGAACACAAUAUUUUGAUUUUUCUGGUUGGUUUCGGUUAGAACAGACUCAGGCCAACAAAAUAUGUACAUCCAUUUCCUUAUUUAAAAGCUUUAAGUGCUCUAUAAACUGCUGUCCCUAUUCAGAUUGUAGUCCCGAUUCACCCCAGAUUACGGUAACUAUUUUUCUAAACAUUAUUGAAAAAACUUUUUUUCCGAAAUAGUGCAUGGACUUUGUGUGGUUAUGUUUUAAAAAUAAUAAUCUUGAGAAAAACCUUACCUGUUGGAAUAUAUUCUAAAAACAAAUUGAAAUCCUAUCAAAGUCACCUCGGUUUACGGUAUGUAAGCAUUAAGGGAUAGCUUAUUAUCGAACAUAUAUGCAAAAAUGCGACCGUUACAUUGGAUGUAUCAAAAUUAGUAGCCAAAUCAAAUUUCUAUCAAUGUCACCCCAGGCUAUCAAAGUCACCCCAGUUUACGGUAUCAGAAUCCUGAAGGAACCUGAACGGGUAUUCUGGUUGGGCGGAUGAAAUAAGUAUGAAAGGCGAAUCGAGGGCGGGCCAAGGCGGUUGGGGCAUUUUGGGCGGAUGAACUUUAUAUAGGGGGCGGAUCGGGGGCGAACCGCUGGCGGACCAUCCCAAAGGGGCGGCUGAACCGUAUAUGAAAGGCGCAUCAAGGACGAGCCAAGGCGGUUGGGGCUUUUUGGGCGGAUGAACUUUAUAUAGGGGGCGGAUCGGGGGCGAACCGCUGGCGGACCAACCUACAGAGGAGGCUGAACCGUAUAUGAAAGGCGCAUCAAGGGCGAGCCAAGGCGGUUGUGGCUUUUUAGGCGGAUGAACUUUAUAUAGGGGGCGGAUCGGGGGCGACUCGCUGGAGAACCAACCUACAGGGGCGGCCGAACCGUAUAUGAGAGGCGCAUCAAGGGCGGGCCAAGGCGGUUGGGGCAUUUUGGGCGGAUGAACUUUAUAUAGGGGGCUGAUCGGGGGUGACCCGCUGGCGGACCAUCUUAUAGGGACGGACGAACCGUAUAUGAAAGGUGGGUCGAGGGCGAGCCACGGCGGUUGGGGCUUUUUAGGCGGAUGAACUUUUAUAUGGGAGGCGUAUCGAGGGCGACCCGCUAGCGGACCAUCCUAUAGGGGCGGUUGAACCAUACAAAACGGCGUAUGUGGGGCGGAUGAACGGCGGGUGAAACAUUUCAAGGCAAACCUGGGUGACCCCGGGGUGAGUCGCUGCCGGACCAACGUCGCGAUAAAAAAAAUCAAACGCUGGCGGAUCACCAGAGCGGUUUGGUGGUCUGCCAGCGAACCGCCGUCGGGCUGCCCAGUUAAUGUGGGAUGCGUUACUAAACUAAAACGUAACGCCCCAGUUGGGAGCGAGUUACCAAAUCUAGCAACGCAACUAAUUUUAAAUGUCGAGAAUUUGCAUGAUAUUUUUAAGACGUAGGGGACCAUCUGGAGGCGCUCCAGUCAAAUCUUUAUAUUGUAUAUUCGUAUUGAAAAAAAAUUAAGUCUUAGGGGCGCGUCCAGUUAAAUUUUCAUAAUUUUCAUAAAAAUCUGGUAGUCAUAGGGGCGCCUAUAGUCAAAUUUUUCAUAUCGAGAAUUUGCAGAAUUUUUUUAAGUCAUAAGGGCGCCUCCAGUCAAAUUUUCAUAGCAAAAAAAUUUGUAUGAUUUUUUUGAAGUCGUAGGGGCGCCUCCAUUCAAUUUUCAUAUCGAGAAUUUGCAUGAUUUUUUUAAGUCGUAGGAGCGCCUCCAGUCAAAUUUUUAUAUUGCAUAUUCGUUGCAGUUGAGUCUUUUUACCGGACGGACGCGUUUUUUAAUUCGCUCUACACCUUAUUUUUAUUUACCUUCACUGACCCAGUCCACAAACGUAAACGUAAACUUAUUUAUUUUUUGUCGCGCGUCGCGUGUGCACUUAUUAACAAACCAGAAAAAUGCCCCUCGGACAUAAUUUUAGCAGUCCACGAUGAAGUGAGGGCCCUCACUUCAUCCAUCAAUAAACUGCAAGACAAUGAAAUUGAAGUCCGGCAAAAAUCACUGGCAGCAGACCCGUAGCCAGGCUGCAGCCCCCCCUGAAAUUUUUCCCAUUUUUUUUUUAAAUUGUACUACCUUAAAAAAAUCUCAAAAUAAUGAUUAUGUGUUCUCUCCACAGAAAUAAUUUGUAAGAUAGAGAAUCAAGAAUAGAUUAAUCAAACGAAGUAAUUUGCCUGUCCAUUGCCGAGCUCAGUUUUCGUAGAUUAUGGAUCCAAUAUUUAAAAAUUGAGCUGCAGAUUUGAACAUCGAUCCAUUCAGUCACAUUUCAUUUAUCCCAUAGUUUUAUCAUUACAUUGGUUAGGGUGGUCCAAAUCUGGGCUUUCUCGAGGCUACCCCCUAAAAUCAAAGAUUGAUCACUAGCCUAAGUUCCAAAUUUGAGCUUUUUAUGACCACUGACCACCAAGUUUGGGAAAAAUCGUCAAAAUGUAUGGAGAAAAGCAACUGUUUCAGUUUUUGACCUGUGGAAGGCGCAAUAACUACCCAGUUCUUACCAAUUUUCAUAACUAAUAUCUUCUUUAAAUUUGGAAAAACUUUCCCGAAGACACCUUAUUUUUUGGGUUUUUUGCUAAAAAGUUAUUAGCCUUCGAAAAUAGCAAUAUCCGGGGCUACAUAGAAAUAGUUAAUUUUUAAACUCAUGUCUGUGCUAGCUUGCCUGGCAAUGCACCUCCUGUUAUGUUGCGCAAAAAUUGCCAUUUUCGGAAGCUAAUAAUUUUUUAGCAAAAAUCCUUAAAUCUCGUUGUCUUAAUUAUGAUAGUCGAACAUAAGUAAAAAAAAAAGUAAUCCACUUUAACGACCCCCGGGUCUUUUGUGGUCUCUGUUGCAAGUUUCUGCUCAUUUCUAGGCGUCCGAAGGUUAUGUGUGGUGAGCCACCCAAAAUCUCUUUUACGCAAAUGGACCGACGUUUUACUUCCCCAUCCGAUAGAAGGCUCGAACUUAAGUAUGACCCCUGAAGAAACAUAAAAUAAUUUAGAAUUUUUAGAUUCAAAUUGGCGGCCAAAAUGGUGGCCAAGAAAUAUUGUUCAAAUCUAACUCAAAUGUGGUUGCAGAUGCCGAAUUUGAUGUUAAAAGCAAGCAAAUAAAAAAACGAUUUCAAUUUGGUCAUGAUUCGAUUAUCCGAAGUCCUUCGAACUUUUGGAUAAUCGACUUGUCGAAUUUGGACUGCAAAAUUAAUAACCCUUCUUUAUUUGCAUUAAAAUCCCUUAUCUUUUUGAGGACCUUCAUACUAUUAACAAAUGAUUUUUUCUACAAUUUUCAAAAUAUGCCAUAAUUUAUACAAAAUUCAGAUUUUGUUUUAAAAAUCUAAUUUCGACUAUUAUCAGAAAUACACAUCUAAUAUUAUCUUUUUGGUUUUUAGAAUAUGGUUAGUUACAUAUCUGAGACCUUACAGAAAAAUGCUUAAGAAAUAUCUGUGUGUAAUUUUUAUUACUUUUUCGUAAUCCUUUUUCCCGAAACCACUCGUCCAAAAUGCUUACUUUUGGUCACAUUUAUUUGUUUCCACCGUGGCAACUCUCCAAUUUUUAUUUAAUGUUUCAAAAAUCGAAAGAUCAACUAAGUGAAUCUUUAUUAUCAACUAAUUUUCGCUUUGUGCAUGAGCUUGCGAUUUUUGAAGCAAGAAAUAAAAUGAUAAAAAUAUUCAAAAUGUCAAAAAAAGAAAAUUAUAGCUUGGAUUCAAAAACUCUGCAAUUAAAUUAAUUAAACAUCAUUUUCAAAUUGUUAAAUUUCUGAUAUUCAUUUUUAAACUUUUUCAUUUAAAUUUUUUUGAUUUUAUGGAUUAGAAUUUCCAUUUUGAAGAUUUAAAAAUUUCUUUAUUAUUUUUUUUAAAUUGUAUUUUAUUGUAAAUAUUUUCCAAAGUUUAUGUUGCCACCCUUUCAAAAGGGGCAGAGGGCAAAUGCAAUUUUUUUUUAAAUAGCUUCACAGCUUCAAUGGAAAUGGAAGUCUAAUCAACUGAAAACAGUUAUUUUUGUAUUCAUAACUUAUUUCGAUUAAGUCCUUUUAGGAGCAGUGACAACACAUUUGAAAUGUUUUUUUUUCUGCGUUGAUAAUCAUGUACGACAUGUUUGAGCUCGUUUAAAAAUAUUUAAAAUUUUUGUAACAUUUCGUUGAACCGCGGCAAGUUUUUUUUUUCACGAAAAAAGCUUUUCGCCAGUAACUAGAUAUUUUGAAAACUAAUGAUGCAAAACAACUGUACUGGUUUAAAGUGAGGUUUUGAAACACUUUUAAAAUGAUAAACCAAUGGCUUGUAAUUUAAAUAUUUAUAUUUUUCAUUGUUUGCUCUACCCUUUCGACUUUGGCCAGAGUUUAGUAACAUAAAGUUUAGAAUAAUAUUUGCAACGGUCUAAUUGAGAAUUUAAAAAUUUUACUGCUUUUAAAUUUCUAAAUUUUAGAUUUCAAAUAUUUUGGUAUAAGACAAAGAAAAGCCAGAAAUCAAAAAUAACAAUAAUAAAAAAAUCACAAAAUUUAUAAUAACAAUUAAACAUAAUAAUUUAAAAAAAAUCAAUAGAACAAAAAACAUAAACCAAAACAUAAAUAAAAUAAUUAAUAUUAAAAAAUAUCAAAAUUUUAAAAAUACCAUUAUUGUCCCAUUGAUUAUUGUAAUGACUUUUCUCUUAUUUUAAACUUAAUUCUGAGCAAAAAACUAAAUUCAUUCUUAACAUAUUCGGCAUUUUAAGAUUCAGCAUUUUGACAGCCGGCUUCAUGUGGCAAUUCUUCAAUAUUAUUUUAGCGAAUACAUUUUUUUCACACGUUAUUCUCAGUCGCAUUUAAAUAAACAAAUCAAAAUCUCAUCAACACAUAUUGCACCCGAAAAAAAUCCAAAGCCAUUUUUGUUCUGUUCCUUUUCAGCUGCGUACCGCUAAAGCUAAAUCUUUCCGUAAAUCUUUUCUUGACUGUUUCUUGAGCAUUUUUUGGAUGGAGUUUUAAGAGUC